rnacentral:tRNA from 1 species
CAUAGCUCAGCUGGAUAGAGCGUUUGACUACGAAUCAAAAGGUCGCAGGUUCGAAUCCUGCUGGGGCC